GACAGCCGAUGUGAAAAUAAAAUGUAAGUACUUUAAUUUUUCUUUCAACUUUCAGAAACUAUUUUAAUAAUUCAAUCCGGUCAACAUUUUAUAACACCACUUCAUUAUUGUGUUCUCGCCGAAAUCUGCAACCACACACGGUUAACCGUUUGCGGAGAGGACAAGAAGAAUUCCGAACACCGGAUUUUUCACGACGAAUGUGAUUUGUUUGAGUUAAAUUGCGACGGUGAUAGAGAAUUCGUACCAGUUAAUUAUUCAGUUUGUUUUCAACAAACAAUAAACGGAACGCCAGUAAGUAUUUAUAGUAGUAGCAGAAGAUAUAAUAAAAAUAUAUUGCAGAAUAUGAAAAAAGAAAUGGUGGAAGCAAAGGCGACUGUUACUUUGAAACGGUUUCGGUUAAAGAAUCAAACAAUCACACUACCUGAAACCACUGUUACUACGACUCCUACUAUUAAUACUACUACUACUCCUACUACUACGCCCACUCCUACUACUACUAUUACUAUGACGAGUAUAUCUACAGUCAUAUUAAAAAAGGAGACUGUUUGGAGAAAUGGAAAAUUAUAUAUGAAAAUAGUAAAAGGCCUGGAACAUGAAUAUCCUCAAAUUACGAACGAGUCGAGUGGAUAUAAUA